GGGCAGCAGAGCAACAAAAGUCAGCUGUUACCAAAGCAACCAAGAACUGAGCUCAGCCUGUAACUACACCUUGUAGCAACAUCAGAGGACUUUACUGGCAAUUAAGAUGUUGCUAGAGAAACUUGUUUUCUCCCAACUUCUGUAUAUCCAUGUGGCACUAAUAGCCCCAAAUGGUGGCUUGUCCAAUGGAGGCCCUUCAUCGCUGGUCCUAGAAAACUCAGGUCUUUAUAGAUUUAUGAAUCAUGAAAAUAGGGGCUAGAGUUUGUUCACAGGUUUCAUUUUAAUGUGUCUUUCCCUGAAACUGCCCACCAUCAAGUUUCCUAGUUUUCCCUGUGUGAAAGAAGGUGCUACAGCUCAGGAGACUCUGGCACGAAGUGUGGGACCCAUCUCUGCUUCCUCUAUAUCAGGAGAUGGACUGUGCUAUGCUCAGGUCCCCUGAGGCUACUGGAUUGGGCGCUGUAGGGAUUCUGCUGGGAAGCUCACCUUCUGAAGCCAAUUUUCUUUCCAGAGUACACUGCUUGGGAAACAGCAUAAUUUGAAAAAUGUGAUCACUUUUAAACCUACUUGGGUUAUCUUAGCCUUAACAUAAAGAUGAUUUGUAAAACAUCUGUGCUUCAUAUGGACAAAGCCAGGAAAAAUAAUCAGCUAGGAGCUAUGUUCGUUUCACAUCUGCAGCUAAAAUGCUCUACUCUUAUGGUCUCUCUUGGGAAGAAUCCAUCCACAUGGCCACAUGGGAGAGCUGAGUAAAAUAUGUUGCACCUUCUUUUCUAUUAUGCACUUUAUUUUCACUAAGGUCCCAUAUACCUCAUGGUUUAUUGAAUGUCCUCCGUAUUUCCCCAAAGCAGGCAGCACUGUGGUAUAUUUUUUCUCUCCACAAAAUAGAUAAGGAAGCCGAGACACACAGACAGACAAUUACUUUCUCAACAUGAUUCAAGUGAUCUGAGUUAAAAAUCCCUAUAGGCUCUCACUCUCAGAACAGUUGCUCCACUCACUUCAAUGUUGAAUAUAAUUAUAUCUCCAUAAUAUCAAAUGGUAGGAAACACGGAUUCAUAUUAUGUAAUAAAUCUAUAGGUUUCCUAGCGAGGUAAUGGCUCAGUAGUUAUGAGUUAAUGAGACUUUCAGAAUCAACUUGAUUACAUGUAUUAACCCUUGCAGUAAAUAUAUAGGAAAUGAUUCUUUUUUCUUUUUUUUCUCUCUCAUAGGGAUGCAUCCACACCAGAUGGAAGUUCCCAGGCUAGGGCUCGAAUCGGAGCUGUAGCGCCCAGGCUAUGCCACAGCCAUAGGGAUCUGAGCUGCAUCUGCAACCUAUACCACAGCUUGCAAAAAUAAGGAAUCCUUAGCCCACUGAGCGAGGUCAGGGAUCAAACCCGCAUCUUCAUGGAUACUAGUCAGUUUGUUACUGCUGAGCCAUGUCAGGAACUCCAAAUAUUUUUUCAAAAUAAUUACAAAGUGCAGAAUCAAGUUGUUUACCUGUUAGUUGUCUAGAUGACAAAGUUCUAAGAUACAGCCCUCGGGCCUUCACACACAAUCAAUUACCUAUAAUCUAAAGAACUUAUUCUCAUGUGGUAAUACCCUUCCAAAAAUUUUAUUUACUUUUUUUCCUUCACGGAAAACUUUGAAGAAUAAACGUUAUCAAUAUCCAAAUUGGCAUUGAGCAACCAUGAAUAUUUAUUGAGCACUUCCUGUGCGCAGGAUACUCUGCCCAAUACUUUGUAUUCAUAACUUCCCUUCUUUCUCACGAUAAUCAUAUAGGUGAGGUGGAGAGAGUAGGGUUGCAUUCAGGGAAUAAUUUUCAUGAGAUCUUAGAGCUACAAGAACCAGGGUUUGCCUCUAGAUGCAUACAAUUUACCUUAAUCUUUAGACCUGCACUUCCAAUGUGAUAGCUAUGCCCCAUGUCGCUAUUUACAUUCACUUUAAAAAUUCAGUUCCUCAGUCACACUACCACAUUUCAAGUGCUCAAAAACUACCCAAAGCCAAUGGUGACUGUGUUAACAGUGCGGGUAUAGACCUUCUCCAGCAUUGCUGGCAGCUCUACCAGAAAGCCCUGAACUACAGUAUACUCCCUUCCUUAGAGGCUACUGCAGUUUAAAUAGAGACAUCAUCUGUCACCAAAUUUCCUCACUUAUACUUGGGGCGGGGGAGGGAUUAGGAAGGGAGCUUUAUUGUGUAAACUUUAUAGAAAUAAAUACAUUGGCCAAGUCCAAUCUUCCCUAGUCUCUAAGACUAAAAACCACUCAACUGUUAUAUCCUCUAUGAUAUUUUUCGAAAUUCCCUUCACUCCCCAGAGGAGAGAAGAGGUGGGGGAUGUGAACUCAAAUGUACUGAGCUCCAGUAUGGGCACACAUGAUCUCCUUUAAUCUCUUCAAUGGUAUAUAUGAGAGUGUGUUAUUAUCCCCAAUUUCCCCUUAGGAAAAGAAUUCGAAUUACUCACACACAUUUCCAAAUACAGCCUGAGCUUAUAGCAUAUAAAGCAUUAGCACUGCAAAGCCAAGGAUUCUGAAUCCUUUCCCUCUCUUCAGUGCACUCGCAGGUAAUGUACAGUAUAUGAGACCUGCUCCCAGCUUAGCUAGUUAGAAUUAUGGGGAAUAACUUCACUUUUUUCCCCCCUACCACGCAGGAAAGUAUAUUGAAACACUUAUGAGCAGAAAUAGCAUUACUAUAGGGCUAAAUGUUCUAAUAAAUUGAAAAGGUGAAUAAUUUGUGAACUUUUGCAUUUUCUGUGUAGUCUGGACUAGAAGCUUCAAACUUGAGUGCCAAGAGAGAUUGUGAAGAAAAAGUAGAUGAAUAGAACAGACGGUUGUGGACCAUUGGUUAUAAGGACCAGCAGGGAUAGCAUCACCUGGGAACUUAUCAGAAAUGCAAAUUAUCAGGCUCUUUCCCUGGACUGUUGAAUCAAAACUCUGGGGUGGAUCCAGCAAUCUAUGUUUUAAAAAGCCCUGCAGGUAAUUCUGAUUCAAGCUAUAUUUUGAGUACCCUUGUUUUAAGCAGUAGGAGCUGGUAGUGUGAUGAACAGAAAAUGCACACCCCCUCUACUCCGCUCCAAGUGCUUCUAUUGCUUUCAUUGGAAUGAAGGUCCAGUGUGGCCAGACCUUCCUGUGACUUGAAUGUCACUGAUGGGAGUGGAAGGGAGAGAAAGGCUACAUGAAUUAAAAUGCUUAUUGCAACCUGGAGGCUAAUGUUACUGUGCUUUCUACUUUGGUACAAUAUUUUUAGUCAACUAAAUGACAUACAGAUUAAAUACUAAAUUUUUACUUUCUCAUUACCGCUAAUAUUUUGAUGCAUGCUGUCUUAAUAGUAUCACAGUAAUUCUUGGUCUCCUUUAAAAUUACUAUACCUUAGCUUCUGUUUCAAAGUUACUUAUUCUUAGUAUGUUGUUUUCAGAACUCCAGUAGCACCCAUCAGUUAAUGAAAUUGCAAAUGGUAUUGUUAUAAGGUAUAAAAAUAGAUCAUAUACUAACAACACUAAAUAUUUAAUAAAAUUAUCAGUAUUACUAGAAUUUCUCACAGAAGUUCUGUGAGGUGCUGUCCUGAAAGAAAAUGGUGGGACUUUCUGUUUAUCAGCUAAAGUAGUACUGCAUGAAAGGAUAAAGUAAAACAGUUUGCUGUGUGUUUGGCGCCCCCUAGAUUAGAAAUUACUUAAUUUUCUACUUUCAUUAAAACUGGGUUUCUCAAUGCCUUCAAUUUUAUACAUAAAUGAUACUUUAUUAAUAUUUUAAGUAUUCAAUGCCUUCAAUUUUAUACAUAAAUGAUACUUUAUUAAUAUUUUAAGUAGCUCUGUUUCAAAUUGGCCUAAUGUAAUUGGACUACAUAAGAGUUUUUCCUUUAUAGAAAUUGUAUAAAGCUUUUCCAGUCUACAAAAAAUAAAAAAUAAUAAAAUAAAUAUUUACGUAUUAACCACUCAGAUUAAUAAAACAAAUGAACAUAUCAU
rnacentral:lncRNA from 1 species